rnacentral:rRNA from 1 species
CGUGUAGGCGGUUCAGCAAGUGGAAUGUGAAAUCCCUCGGCUCACCCGAGGACCUGCAUUCCAAACUGCUGGGCUUGAGUAUGGGAGAGGAUGAGGGAAUUCCUGGUGUAGCGGUGAAAUGCGUAGAUAUCAGGAGGAACACCGGUGGCGAAAGCGCUCAUCUGGCCCAAUACUGACGCUGAGGCGCGAAAGCUAGGGGAGCAAACG